rnacentral:rRNA from 1 species
UACGAAGGGGGCUAGCGUUGCUCGGAAUCACUGGGCGUAAAGGGCGCGUAGGCGGCCAUUCAAGUCAGAGGUGAAAGCCCAAGGCUCAACCUUGGAAUUGCCUUUGAUACUGUUUGGCUUGAGACCGGAAGAGGUUAGUGGAACUGCGAGUGUAGAGGUGAAAUUCGUAGAUAUUCGCAAGAACACCAGUGGCGAAGGCGGCUAACUGGUCCGGUUCUGACGCUGAGGCACGAAAGCGUGGGGAGCAAACAGG